UACGUAGGGUGCAAGCGUUAAUCGGAAUUACUGGGCGUAAAGCGUGCGCAGGCGGUUAUGCAAGACAGAUGUGAAAUCCCCGGGCUCAACCUGGGAACUGCAUUUGUGACUGCAUCGCUGGAGUACGGCAGAGGGGGAUGGAAUUCCGCGUGUAGCAGUGAAAUGCGUAGAUAUGCGGAGGAACACCGAUGGCGAAGGCAAUCCCCUGGGCCUGUACUGACGCUCAUGCACGAAAGCGUGGGGAGCAAACAGG
rnacentral:rRNA from 1 species